rnacentral:lncRNA from 1 species
CUCAACACGGUCUCCGCGCCCUCGUGGGACAAGCAGAACCGCCAGCACCUCCAAGGGGAGGUCAAGACGCCAGAGAGCAGAUCCCCCCACCACCCCGUCCCCCGCAGGCCUCUGAAGAAGGGGUGAUUAACCGGGGAAAACAGGUUCCGAGAUGCUCGGUAAUUUGCAGCGGGCUCACAGGUAGGAGGAGCCCACCUGCAGGCUCCUGCUUGAAUGCCAGGCAAAGGGAGAGAAGGAAGCAAGCUCCAGGGCUGGAAACCGCUGGCUGUGGUGUGCAGAGGAGAGGCAGGCAAAGAGGCCCAAAAGGAGCACCCAAGGAGGCGGACGGGGAGGUACUGGGAGUGUGGAGCACCUGACUUCGGACCCCAGGCUCCUGAGGUCUGGACCAGCGAUGCUGGAGAUGCAAGGUGCCCCGGAGACAUCUGGCUCAAGCAACCACCUGCAGCAGUAGCCUGAGGCAACUUGUACUCGCUGACAGGCAACAGGCCACUUGCUGUGCACACUGAACUCGGCCGUGGUGGGAGUUUACACCAAGAGAACUGGCAGCUGUCACAAACCAG